GCUGAGCACAGUGGCGCGUGCCUGUAGUCCCAGCUAUUCGGGAGGCUGAGGCUGGAGGAUCUAUCUGUUCAGUCCAGGAGUUCUGGGCUGUGGUGCGCUAUGCCAAUCCGGUGUCUGCACUAAGUUCGGCAUCAAUAUGGUGACCUCCCGGGAGCGGGGGACCACCAGGUUGCCUAAGGAGGGGUGAACCGGCCCAGGUCGGAAACGGAACAGGUCAAAACUCCCGUGCUGAUCAGUAGUGGGAUCGCGCCUGUGAAUAGCCAUUGCACUCCCGCCUGGGCAACAUAGCGAGACCCUGUCUCU
rnacentral:SRP_RNA from 1 species